rnacentral:lncRNA from 1 species
UACCUUUACGAGGACUAGCUAGUAGAGAUUAUUAAAAUUAACACUAAUAAAUAUUGGUUGUUUAUUUCAAUAUUAUAUACCAUUUGCGCUAUCGUUAACUCGCUGACUGGAUGGUUGACUAUUUGUGCCGUAGUUUCAGUCAUAUCACAUACAAUCUACGUCAUUUCUCCUGAAAAGAUCCGACCCGUCAUAUCAGGAGGUUCGGCAGAUCCCAGGGUGAAUAUUGGCGAGGUUUCAUAACGCCAUUUCAGUUCCAUUUCCAUUGAGAAUCUAAUAAAUAAGACCAGCGUUCCCAAUUUUGAUUAUUGAGAGGUUAAAUAUGGUGGACACGUACGGACGGAUGGGCAAACCGUUCCUCAACCUCCUCAAAGACGUCGCCGCACACUAGUAUAUUACUGCAUGAACCAUUAAGUUCAGGAAAUAAAUGUAACUUCGUAUUUAUCACCUUCAUUCGUUCGUAUUUAUAUACCUUCGUAGUAUCCAUAGUAGCUAGCUAGCAGUUGUGCUAAUAAUAAAUACAGUACCUUCGUAUAUACCUUCGUACGUUUCGUUCGUAAUAAGGACCUAAACUUACCUUCGUUAUUAGACUGUUAUUAGUAUAAUAAUAUUACCUUCGAAGGUAUAAAUACCUUCGUAAAAAAUACGAAGGUAUUAAUACCUUCAUAUAUACCUUCGUAUAAUAACGAAGACAUUGUGCAUGCCAAUAAUAACGAGGUAAAAAUGACAACAAUGUGCAGUACACUUCAGCUGAUGGAACCUGUAUGUGGACCUAAGUCUUAUGUUCAGAAUCCCACCCAUGAGGUUUAGUGCAUCUCUAUAUUAUCUUCUGAAGCCGUAGCAUGUCUUCUCCUCUUGAUGGGCUGGUCGUGGGUAAAGAGAAACCUUCGACCAUGGGAGCAGACAUCCAAAAAGGUAUUUCAAUAUUCAACAACAGGAAAUCUCCGACACAACCGAGAACAAAAACCUUCGAGACAUCAAAGAUCGGGGAAGUGGUUGGUUUUCCUUCCCAAGAAAUUGUGAGCCAUGAAGUCGUCGAGCAAACUGGUUUUCGAUCACUAGGACUGAACAGCUGGUUGUGUGAAAAUAUAACCUCGAUGGGAAUCGCCACCGCGACACCGGUUCAACGGGGUUGCAUACCCGCAAUUUUGGCAGGAAGAGAUGUCAUCGGAGUGGCGCAAACUGGCACAGGAAAGACGGCAGCGUUCGCUCUCCCUAUUUUACAGAUACUUGGACGAGAGCCUUAUGGAAUUUUUUGCCUUUGUUUGACACCAACCAGAGAACUAGCAUCUCAGAUUUCAGAACAGUUUAUUGCUUUUUCGGCAGGGAUGACUCUCCGCUGCGAAACCGUUUUUGGUGGCGAGAAUAUCCGGACG